UACGUAGGGUGCAAGCGUUGUCCGGAAUUAUUGGGCGUAAAAGAGCUCGUAGGCGGUUUUGUCGCGUCUGCUGUGAAAACGCGAGGCUCAACCUCGCGCCUGCAGUGGGUACGGGCAGACUAGAGUGCGGUAGGGGAGAUUGGAAUUCCUGGUGUAGCGGUGGAAUGCGCAGAUAUCAGGAGGAACACCGAUGGCGAAGGCAGAUCUCUGGGCCGUUACUGACGCUGAGGAGCGAAAGCGUGGGGAGCAAACAGG
rnacentral:rRNA from 1 species